rnacentral:rRNA from 1 species
AUGAGCAAGCCACGGAAGAAACGCAAGGAUCUGGAUGAACAUUGCUACUGGAACCACACAGACGAGCAAGAUAAGCGUUUCUUCAAGGUUAUGAUUGGCGACUUCCAUGAGAGAAUGAUCAUACCAGAUAGGUUUGUCCAACAUUUCAGGGGGCAAACAGGACGAACUAUUAAGCUAGUAUCACGCCAUGGUUAUACUUUUGAUGUUCAGAUUACCAAGAAUUUGGAGAAACUAGUCCUUGAUUCGGGAUGGAAGGCGUUUGCUCGUGCCCAUAAUUUGAGAACGGGGGACUUUCUUGUGUUCAAGUAUGAUGGCAACUCUGAACUGAAGGUUUUGAUCUUUGGUCCGAGCGGUUGCGAGAAAAUUCCGGUGUGCAAUCUCAAGAAAAAUGCUGCUCCUGGUAAAGAAUGGUGGGGAAACUCUGCUGGCAUUGUAAACACUUGUCACAAUCUUCCCAUGAAAUUUCCACAUAGUGGAAGACAAAUUAGGCCAAGCAAGGAUACCUUAAGGCAGGGGAAUGACAUCAUCAAUGUCAGCUCGUCGAGCUCUGCUUCAGAUUCAGCAGGAGGUAUUUCAUCUUCAGAAGAUGAUCAUUCCCUGCCAGGUUGUAUCCUCGCAAAUGGCACCCUCUCGAAUCUAAAUCAGGUGCAGAAGAACCAACUUAAAGAAAAAAUCAGAGCUAUGAAUUCCGAAAUCCCCAUUUAUGGGUGUGCCAUAAGGAAGAGCAGUAUUUACGGAAAAACCCGCACCCUUGAAAUAUCAAGAAAAUAUGCUGAAGUAUACCUUCCAUUUGAGGAACAAAUGCUGACCCUUCAGCAUCAUGGCAAGAAGUGGGAAGUGAGAUGUAGUGUUAAGAAAAGCAAAGGCAAAAGGCUUUUGACAGGCUGGAAGCAUUUUGCGUGUGGCAACAACUUGCAGCUGGGAGAUGUCUGCCUCUUUGAGCUACUGAGAAACAAAAAGAAGUAUGCAAUGAAUGUCUAUAUCAUUCGCAAAUCCCUUUACAAGAGGAAAUGA